CGCGGAGUAGAGCAGCCUGGUAGCUCAUCGGGCUCAUAACCCGGAGGUCACUGGUUCAAAUCCAGUCUCCGCAACCA
rnacentral:tRNA from 1 species